GUCUUGCUCUGUUGCCAGGCUGGAGUGCAGUGGCGCAAUCUCGGCUCACUGCAACCUCCACCUCCUGGGUUCAAGCGAGUCUCCUGCCUCAGCCUCCUGAGUAUCUGGGACUACAAGCGCCCACCACCAUGCCCAGAUAAUUUUUAGAGACGGAGUUUCACCAUGUUGGCCAGGAUGGUCUCGAUCUCUUGACCUCAUGAUCGCCCACCUCAGCCUGUAUCUUGCCCAUUAUCAAACUAUUUCUUGCUGCCAUAUUCUUUUCUAGUAUUUGACAUCUUGAUUUUCAGAACCUGGUCAAUCUUACCAUAAAAACCUAGCUGCCAUUUCACACCUCUGCUCUGACUGGCUCAAGGCCUGCUCUUCUUUAAUGCCUAUAGCUGGGCAGAAUGAAGCAGGUAUUUAAAUACUGAUCUCUAAAUAUUUUAAUAGAAUGAUGUAUGUGUUCAGCUUAUCUAUUAGUGGGGUAAAUUGUAAUGCGAGAAGAGAAAAUCAAGUUACAAUACCUACAUUGCAGAUUUUCAGUGAGGCUUAAAAGGCAUGAAAAAUUCCCUAAUGUUAGUAAAUACUCAAGAAAUGCUGGUUAAUAUUUCUACUUCUGGUCAAUUGCUUUCCAAGUCGAAACAGCUGAUAAAAUUCUAUACAUUAUACAUUAUGUUAUUCAUAUUAUGAAAAUGUUAAGUCUUUCAUUUCACAAUAUUAUUAGCCAAGAGAAUAAAGGUUUGUAGUGACUUAAAGAUCUUGAAAAGCGACAUACUGUUUUGUUUAAGAGGGAGGAAAAAGUCCACAUAGAAGGUGAUUAAAAAAUACCCACAUUGAUCA
ensembl:lncRNA novel transcript